rnacentral:lncRNA from 1 species
GAGUGGUGCAGGAAGACGCCUGUGCUGCCCACCCUGCUGACCUCCCCUGGGCCCUACUAGCUGUGGCUCUCAGGGUCUCUGGAACACUGGCUCAGCUCACCUUUUCUUUUCCACUGCAGGGACCUGCUGGUGAACGAGGCGAGCAGGGUGCUCCUGGGCCAUCUGGGUUCCAGGGACUUCCUGGCCCUCCUGGUCCCCCAGGUGAAGGUGGAAAACCAGGUGACCAGGGUGUUCCCGGUGAAGCUGGAGCCCCUGGCCUCGUGGGUCCCAGGGGUGAACGAGGUUUCCCAGGUGAACGUGGCUCUCCCGGUGCCCAGGGCCUCCAGGGUCCCCGUGGCCUCCCCGGCACUCCUGGCACUGAUGGUCCCAAAGGUGCAUCUGGCCCAGCAGGCCCCCCUGGGGCUCAGGGCCCUCCAGGUCUUCAGGGAAUGCCUGGCGAGAGGGGAGCAGCUGGUAUCGCUGGGCCCAAAGGCGACAGGGGUGACGUUGGUGAGAAAGGCCCUGAGGGAGCCCCUGGAAAGGAUGGUGGACGAGGCCUGACAGGUCCCAUUGGCCCCCCUGGCCCAGCUGGUGCUAAUGGCGAGAAGGGAGAAGUUGGACCUCCUGGUCCUGCAGGAAGUGCUGGUGCUCGUGGCGCUCCG